AAAAGAAAACUUGAGGGCUCAACAUCUGAAAAGUUCCGUUUAGAUGAAGAUAAACUUUAAAUCGUGAAGUUAUUUUUGCCGCCACGACUGAUAAAGUUAUUUUAAAAACAAUAAUUAGAGGAAACCGAAGAAAGUAAAAUCGCAAGUGCAAAAAAUUGAAGUAUUGUAUAUUUAGACAUGACAGAAUUGGAUUUAUAAUAUGAUGGAUGAUAGAUCCGUUGCAAUGUGGACGUCAUGAAAAAUAACAUUUACGAAGAAUCCUUAUGCACGUGAGAAAAAACUGGGGGAAACGAUGGCAGGACGAAAAUCGUUAAUAAUUGUCAAUAUCAUUCCAUUGGAAAAUACAAGUAGAAUUUAAGUCUAUCGAAUGUGCAAGUGAUUUAUUGAAUUUUGUCCAAAAAUAAUUGUCCAAAUCGAAGUUGAAAACGAAUCAUUAUUGCUGACAAUUGUAAAAAUACAACAGUUUCCAUAAAAAUGUAUCACCAGGAACGUAUAUAAUAUAAAUAUAAAUACGUAAUACAUAAAUACUUUGCACUUGUAUUGAACGAAGAGACCUACCGAACUAUCGAACUAAGAGAAAUAUCGAAAGCGUGCUGAUAAUAGUUUUAACAAAGAUAGUCUCAA